rnacentral:rRNA from 1 species
GUGCAUAGGUAUGAUGUUUCUUUGGAGUCAAAUUCCUUGGGGGUUGCCAACAUGUGCCAUUUUGCGAGAAGGUGUGCUAAUCUCAAAAUGCUACUUCAUGUUUCCACUGCUUUUGUAGCAAGAGAGCAAGAAGGUCUGAUACUAGAAAAACCUUUAAAUAUGGGAGAAACGAGAAGGAGCGGUUACCACUUGGACAUUAAAUCUGAGCUAAAACUAGUUGACAAUGUUAAGUCAAAACUCAUGGUGGAAUCCUCUCCUGAAAUGUUAGUAAAGAAGACAAUGAAGGAACUUGGAUUAAAAAGGUCUAAGCACUUUGGUAGGCCUAAUGUGUAUUCACUCACAAAGGCUUUGGGAGAGAUGUUUCUUGGGAACUUGGCACAAGACCUUCCAGUUGUAAUAGUCAGGCCAAGCAUCAUAACAAGCACUUUUCGGGAUCCAAUGCCUGGAUGGAUAGACGGGACUAGGACAAUUGAUAUGUUGUAUGUUGCCUACAAUGACCAGACGAUUCCAUGUUUCUUCGCCAACCGCAGUGUCAUAUGUGAUCUGAUACCAGGAGAUAUGGUGAUUAAUGCAAUCAUUGUAACCAUGGCCACUCAUUGGGAUAAGCCUCGAUCUCAAGUAAUUUAUCAUGUUGCCUCGGGCCUUCGAAACCCUGUGCAUUAUUCAGUCACGGAGGAAUCGCUAUAUGAAUACUUCAACAGAAAUCCUCGUGUAACAAAGGAUGGAAGGAUUGUGAAAAAUAAAAGGACACUCUUGUUCAAGAAAUACACACACUUCCACCUAUACAUGAUCCUACGGUAUAAGCUCCCCCUAGAGAUGUUGCAUGCGCUAAAUGUAUUUGGAGGUUUGUUUUCCCAACAUUACAAGAAGCUCAACCGCGGUUACUACUUCUUGAUGUUAGUUGCCAAGUUGUACGCUCCAUAUGUGUUCUUCAAAGGGUGCUUUGAUGACACAAAUAUGACCAAGUUGUGGGAGGCAACCGCUACUAGCCAAAAUGAUGCUUCUACCUUUUGUUGUGAUCCUGGGUGCAUUAAUUGGGGCGUAUACCUUGUGAACACACACAUCCCCGCUGUUCUGGAGUAUGCUCACAAUAAUCAUCAAAUGAAGAAAGAAGGUCAGAGUGGGUAA